rnacentral:rRNA from 1 species
GUUGCGGUUAAAAAGCUCGUAGUUGGAUUUCUGUCGAGGACGGUCGGUCCACACUUUGUGUGAGUAUCUGAUUCGGCCUUGGCAUCCUCCUGGGGAACGUUUCUGCGCUUGAUUGCGUGGAGCGGAAUUCAGGACUUUUACUUUGAGGAAAGUAGAGUGUUCACGGCAGGCAAACGCCUUGAAUAUAUUAGCAUGGAAUAAUAAUAUAGGACUUUGGUUUUAUUUUGUUGGUUUCUAGAACUAAAGUAAUGAUUAAUAGGGAUAAUUGGGGGCAUUUGUAUUAACGCGUCAGAGGUGGAAUUCUUGGAUUGCGUUACGACAAACUACUGCGAAAGCAUUUGCCAAGGAUGUUUUCAUUGAUCAAGAACGAAAGUAUGGGGAUCGAAGAUGAUUAGAUACCGUCGUAGUCUAUACCAUAAACUAUGCCGACUAGAGAUUGGAGGUCGUUCUUUCUAUGACUCCUUCAGCACCUUAUGAGAAAUCAAAGUCUUUGGGUUCCGGGGGGAGUAUGGUCGCAAGGCUGAAACUUAAAGGAAUUGACGGAAGGGCACCACCAGGAGUGGAGCCUGCGGCUUAAUUUGACUCAACACGGGGAAACUCACCAGGUCCAGACAUAG